AACGCUGGCGGCGCGCUUAACACAUGCAAGUCGAGCGAGAACCAGGGCUUCGGCUCUGGGGACAGCGGCGAACGGGUGAGUAACACGUGGGUAAUCUGCCCUCGGCAUCGGGAUAGCCCGGGGAAACCCGGAUUAAUACCGAAUAGCCUCCGGAGCCUUCGGGCGUCGGAGAAAAGGUAGCUUCGGCCUCUGGCCGAGGAUGAGCCCGCGGCGGAUUAGCUCGUUGGCGGGGUAACGGCCCACCAAGGCGACGAUCCGUAGCUGGCCUGAGAGGACGAUCAGCCACACUGGGACUGAGACACGGCCCAGACUCCUACGGGAGGCAGCAGUGGGGAAUCUUGCGCUAAUGCGGGAAACCGUGACGCAGCGACGCCGCGUGAGGGAAGAAGGCCUUCGGGUUGUAAACCUCUUUCAGGAGGGACGAAGCUACUCGGGUUAAUAGCCCAGAGGGUGACGGUACCUCCAGAAGAAGCCCCGGCUAACUACGUGCCAGCCGCCGCAGUAAAAC
rnacentral:rRNA from 1 species